AACGAACGCUGGCGGCAUGCCUAACACAUGCAAGUCGAACGAGACCUUCGGGUCUAGUGGCGCACGGGUGCGUAACGCGUGGGAACCUGCCCUUAGGUUCGGAAUAACUCCCCGAAAGGGGUGCUAAUACCGGAUAAUGUCUUCGGACCAAAGAUUUAUCGCCUUUGGAUGGGCCCGCGUUGGAUUAGCUAGUUGGUAGGGUAAAAGCCUACCAAGGCGACGAUCCAUAGCUGGUCUGAGAGGAUGAUCAGCCACACUGGGACUGAGACACGGCCCAGACUCAUACGGGAGGCAGCAGUGGGGAAUAUUGGACAAUGGGCGAAAGACUGAGCCAGCAAUGCCGCGUGAGUGAUGAAGGCCUUAGGGUUGUAAAGCUCUUUUACCCGGGAUGAUAAUGACAGUACCGGGAGAAUAAGCUCCGGCUAACUCCGUG
rnacentral:rRNA from 1 species